UGUGAUGAUGUAAUAUUUUUUUGGAAGUUUUUGUCAGCAUUUCACAGUCAUAGCUGAUGGGAGGAAGAGCAUUAACAUGCAGUUUUUGUCAGCAUUUCAAAGUCAUAGAUGAUGGGAGGAAGAGCAUCAACAUGCAGUUUUUGUCAACAUUUCAGAGUCAGAGAUGUGGAACCCUGUGUCUUGAUCAAGUGUUAUUGAUGAGCUGCAUGCAUUGUUACUAAGAUGGUGGAAGAAGAAUUUCUCAAGUAGCAAUCUUUCAUAGCUCUUGCUUGAUGAAAAUAGAAAAUUAUAUUAAUUAAAACAACAUUCUUU